rnacentral:rRNA from 1 species
AAUUCGAUGAUACGCGAGGAACCUUACCUGGGCUUAAAUGUAGAGUGCAUUUUUUAGAGAUAGAAAUUCCCUUCGGGGCUUUCUGCAAGGUGCUGCAUGGUUGUCGUCAGCUCGUGCCGUGAGGUGUCGGGUUAAGUCCCAUAACGAGCGCAACCCUUAUCGUUAGUUGCCAUCUGGUAAUGCAGGGGACUCUAGCGAAACUGCCACCGUAAGGUGAGAGGAAGGUGGGAUGACGUCAAAUCAGCACGGCCCUUAUGUCCAGGGCUACACACGUGUUACAAUGGUCGGUACAGAGGGCAGCUACCUGGUGACAGGAUGCUAAUCUCGAAAACCGGUCUCAGUUCGGAUCGAAGUCUGCAACUCGACUUCGUGAAGCUGGAUUCGCUAGUAAUCGCGCAUCAGCUAUGGCGCGGUGAAUACGUUCCCGGGCCUU